rnacentral:siRNA from 1 species
GGUAGUCCUAUUGUAGUCAUUAC